AACAACGCUCAGCCUCACAAGAUGGAGUGCAGAUUGGAGAAGUGCUACUGCUCUUUAUGAGCAAGCUGCUAAUGGGUUUAGAGUUGCCAAGGACUACGAGAGAGCAAAAGGAGCAUUUGAGAAGGCUUCAAAAGGACAAGAGAUGCUUUCUUCACCUUGGGAUGCAGGUAAGCACAUGGAAUCUGCUGCUGCUAUGUCAAAGGAACUAAGCAACUGGAGAGAAGUUGGGG